GGUGCUAUGGCGGAGUGGUCUAACGCGAUAGAUUAGAAAUCUAUUCCUCUCUGAGGGCCUGAGUUCAAAUCUCAGUGGCAUCA